rnacentral:rRNA from 1 species
GACAGAGGGUGCAAACGUUGCUCGGAAUCACUGGGCGUAAAGGGCGUGUAGGCGGGAAGGAAAGUCAGAUGUGAAAGCCCUGGGCUCAACCCAGGAACUGCAUUUGAAACUCCCUUUCUUGAGUGUCGGAGAGGAAAGCGGAAUUCCUGGUGUAGAGGUGAAAUUCGUAGAUAUCAGGAGGAACACCGGUGGCGAAGGCGGCUUUCUGGACGACAACUGACGCUGAGACGCGAAAGCGUGGGGAGCAAACAGG